GGAUAGGAGGGCGCUCUAUCGGCGACCCCACCAGGGUGGAUAGGACUGAUGUGGCUGGCUGGGCGGGCGUCGCCGUCCUCCCUCGCCGCUGCACAUGCGUCCCUCCUGAAGCUGCGAGCUCGGCAGAGGAGGACGACCUUCCCCGCAGAGGAGGGCCGUUCUUCGGUCAAGGGUUUACGAGUAGCUGCACUGCCGUGCUGGACCCUCCGAACGAGCUCUCAAAGCCCUGCCCAAAUGCCCUUUCCUCUGUGAGGCCAACAGAUACGAUUCUGUGGUGGAUAAGCUCUU
ensembl:misc_RNA 7SK 7SK RNA